rnacentral:SRP_RNA from 1 species
GCCGGGUGCAGUGGCGCGCGCCUGUAAUCCACGUUACCGGGAGGCUGAGGCUGGAGGAUCGUUUGAGCUCAGGGCUCUGAGCUGCAGCGGGACUAUGUCGACCGGGUGUCCGCACUAAGUUCGGUAUCGAUAUGGUGCUCCUGGGGGAGCCCGGGACCCACCAGGUCGUCUAAGGAGGGGUGCACCGGCCCAGGUCGGACACGGAGCAGGUCAAAGCCCCCGUGCCGCUAGUAGUGGGAUGCGCCUGUGAAUAGACGCUGUAGUGCAGCCUGAGUAAACAGGCGGGACCCCCUUUU